GAGCAGAGCGCGCGCUCCCCUCAGCGGGGAGGGGACCCCGCCGUUCUCCCGGCGCCCGAGCGCCCGAGCGCCCCGCGCCGUCCGUCCGCCGGGGUUGGAGGAGUGGGGCUGCGAGGCCGUGUCUCGGAUCCGCAGCCUGGCAGAGUGUGCGUAAAACCCUUCCCCCGUCCGGAGGGGGCCCAGCCAGCCCGCGUCCCGCCAGCUCGGGGGGGAUCGGGGGCGGGUGUUGGUGGUUAGAGGAAACUUUCCAGCAGAGCGCCUUGCCGGAGCGAACCGCGCAUCUGCCGAGAUCGCUCCCUGGGCGCCCCUGCAAGCAGCUUCUGUUCCAGAGCGGUAGGAGCAGAAGGGAAGCGAAGGUUUGUGCGUCUGACCGCUAACGCUGAGGACCGGUGGGAAAAUCACACACCCCUCGGCCCCCCCAGCUAAUGAAUGUGAAGAAACAGAGGCUCAGAGGGAGUAAGAAGCUAACCCAAGGGCUCAAGGUGACACAGCAAAACUGGAACCUGAAACCAGAGAUUUGCCUGGGCAGCAGAGGCUGUUGGUGGAGGCUUGGCUCCAGCACAAGGAGGCAGCAAGUCGUAUUGCUGGAAAGUGCUCUGCCGAUUGACCUCAGCUUCACUGAAGGGUGUUCCUGGGAAAGAUGAAUGCCACUGGAAGCGGAAAUUCUUGGCAAUGAGAAAAAACCUUGCCUGAUGCAGACACAUGCCCCACCCAAGCGAUUCCCAGCUGCAAGGGAUUCAGCAAGUCUCUGGGUCCCGCUGCCCUCGAUCCAUCGAUCCAUCACAGGGGAGGCAGGUCUGGGGAGAGCCAGUCGGUUAGGGUCUAUCCCCUUCCUCUCCCCUGUGCCAGGGUUGCAUUCACAGCACCCACGCCCAGAGCCACCUUGUUGAUUUGAAUCAAGGGAGACCAGGCAGGUUCAGCAGACCUUGGCAUCUCAGCCUCUGCAAGUGAAGAAGCCUUGAAGCUGCGACCCGGGAAUCUGGGGGAGGCCUGGAGACCGCGUGCCCAAGAAGGGAUCCAAAGAGGGGGGCUGCGAAGCGGGGCCAUUGACAACAUCGGCAAAUCCCAAAGUAAUCUCCAGCUGCUUUGAUCUCCUAAGUACCCUGCUGCCCUGGACGCCCGCUGCCGUGGCCAGGUGGGAAGCGGGAAGACUCCUUGUCAGUGGGAGAGAGGAAGAAGAGGAAGAAGGAAGAGAGGAAGAAGAGCCCCGAGGACUGGCAGCCGGUACAACACAAGCUCAAGAGCAAGGACUGUGUGUGAAUUAUUCAUCACUGGACCUAGAGUACAACACAGAGAUGCUUAGUUACUUUGAAGCUCCAAUGAGGCAAAAUGCAUGAAGGCACUUUGAAGAUUUUAUAAAGCACCAUCAGAGUGUGUUACAGGGCACUGCUGUCUGCACUACAGUAAUAAAGAAACACGCUGAUAGAUAUAACAGCUUCAAGUGAUAAGCAAUCUCCAGGAAUCUGCAGUGAGAUUGCUGGUUGACUGGAAAUGCUCUCUAUUUCUCCAGAGGGUAUCUGUCCUUGAAGAAGCCAUUCGUUGCCUAGAAAAUGAAAAGGAUGACUGGUAAAGCUCCAGGUGGUGGCUGCUUCAUCAGCCUGGUGGCAGAAGAGCGCUUCCCAAAGAACCUAUGUGACCACUCACAUAGGCAAGAAGUGAACCUUGUCUGAUGCUCCUGAGAAUCUGAGCUGUUUGUACAGUACCAAAGCUCAGCACAUCCUGACUAGCACAGAGGCACUGCAAGAACGGAGACUGGAGAGGGAGUUCUGUGAACUCGUGUUGUUAACCCAAAGAAAGAUACUGUCGCUUACUUUUUCUUUGGUAGUCUGCCACAGUCCAGGAGCAGUGCCCAUAUCUGAUGAGUCCCUGCCAUGGCUAUCCAUAGAAUGUCAUCUCCUCCGACCUCUGAACCUUUAUAAAAUAAAAGCAUUUUGAAAGUUGUUAAGCUUAAGUGCACUCAAGAUUACUCCUUUUGCCAAGUACCUGGAGCGAAGCUAUUCUGAGCUGUAAGUGAAAUGUGGAGCCAUAUGUUCUUAAUGAUCUGUUGAGCUAAGGUAAGUCUCACUUCCUUUACUGAGAACUGAGCUUAAUAAAGACAUGAGUCUCAGCAUAUUACUCUAGUUGGAAGCUGAGAGAGUACUUUGUCUAUAGAGCCAAGAUUUCCUUAGAAAACAAUUUGGGUACGUUCUCAAUAGGAAAUAAACAACCAGAGAUUUCAUGCUACAAAGUAUGAAAAACUUUUAGCCUAGAAAAAAAAUAUUUAAGUAAAUCCGACUAAAUAAAGUAUCCAGUAAAGUACAUCCUAUUUUUAAGCAAUAUAAACUGAUUUAUGUGAUAGACUGAAUUACUAGUCUUACUUCUUCACUUCUCUGUUCUAUUAUACAUCCACACCCCUAUCAUGGCCUCAUUGUAGGCAAAGUGCAUAGCCCUGUCCCAUGACUUCGAGCUUAGUCAUGUGACACGCCUAAUACAAUAUAGGUAAGCAGAUCCCAGGUGAGCAAAGGCUUAAAAUGUGUGUAACUGGGCUUACUCUCUUGUAUUCCUGCCUUUUGCCAAAAGAAUAUGCCUCAGACAGCUACUGGUUCAAAGAAGUUGAGAAACAAAUGGGGCAGAUCUAGACCCAAACAACAUCUUGGAACCAGGCCCAGGCUUAGCCUUGAUCAGCUGAACCCCAAUCCUAUCUGAGAAAUAAAGGUUUAGGUUUGUAUGAGUGUUUUGGGAUGAUUUAUUAUGAAGUGUUACUGUGGCAAUUAUUAACAGAUACAGCAAACAGAAAUUGUAAUUUGCAAAAAUGUAAAUAUCUAUAGCUGAAUUGCUAUAUGCACUAUUAGCUUUAAA